CUCAGAGAAUUAAAAGGCGUAUUUUUUUUAACUUUAAUCAAAAGACGUUAUUUGAACAAAAAAAAAAAAAAAAAAAAAUCAAAAGACGUUAUUUUAAUUUAAUAACGGCAAAACCUUAGAAUUUAGGACGGGGCUUGUACUUUGUGCACUUUGUAUAAUAGUUGGUUGGUUUAAAGAAUAAAAGAGGAUUUCGAAGAGAAUUUUUCUGUUAUUGGUUCUCUCAGUACCGUACAUGGCCAACAAUGAACUUGACAAAUUACGCAGGUAUCCCAUAUGAUUUUGACUACUUAUCUCAACUAUGCAAUCUCUUAGAAACAUCCAUAGGGACAGUAUCUCCGCAUGAAUCUAUCACUAGUUUAUUGAUAUUGAAUUAAGGUUUUUCAUUUUUUUGAAAAAUGCAGUAAAAAUUCUGUCAAAUAAGAAACUUUGAAGAAUUUAGUCAUAUAAAAAUGAAAAAAAAUUGUUAUCAUAAGUAGACUAUCAUUUUCUAAAAAUAAACUCAAUAAAAAAACAUUUGGAUUAUGGUUUAGUGAUUAUUGUUUAGGGUUUAAUUUUGAUGGGUGGAGUUCGAUUUAUAAACUUCUUUAAAUGUUUUAUAAAUUAUCUUAUAAAAAUUUAGGAACGUUUUUUUAAUGGUUUUUCAUUAAUUAAUUAUCCUUGAAGGAUAAAUUUAAAAAUGCUACAAAUUUACUGUAAAAUUGAAAUUCCCCUAAAAAAAUUUUGAUGAAUUUUUCAAGUUUUUGGAAAAAUCUUAACUCAAUUUUGUUAUAAUUAAUAAAAUAUUAUGUUGAAAAACUGUUCAAAAGUUUUAACGGAGUUGAAAAAAAAAAUAUUUAACGGAUUAUAUUAAUAUGAUACAACCGUAAAAGUCAAAUAUUUGAAAUUAUUUUUGAGUAAAAAAAACAGAUUCACCUCUUAUUAUUCAGUUAUACUAUUUAUAAAUUUAUUAACAAAUGAACGGAAACAAAUUUAUGAGGAAAAAUACACAUCAGCUACACUAAAAUGAAAUAAUCAUCAAUUUUAAUAAAAUAUUAUUAUUUAUUAUUUUAUUUAUAAACUAAUCUCGAAAUGGAAAAGGAAAGCUAGCACGACCUAUAGUACAAAAUUGUAUUCUUUACAUUCAGCAUAAUUAUUAUUGUUUUUAAGCGAGUGAUAGCAAAAUCUUCGUUGUUUAUAUAGAUGCAGAACUAUCAGUUUGGUUUACAAAAUCAAUAUUAAUUUGUUUAAGUUGCUGACAAAAACAAAAUUAGCAAAAUCUUUGUAUUUUUGGAUUAUUAAAUUAAAAAAGUAUAAUAAGUUGGUGAAAUUCUAACUUUACUCCAAAUUUGAUAUCAUUUUCAAAUUUACUUUUAAAUAACAAAUAUUUUCAUAAUACCUUAAGUUUAUUAUAAAAUGACUAAAUUAAACAUCCCAAAACAUUUAUAAAUAUGUAAGAAUUAUUUAUAGAAUUUUAAAACCUAACCACACCCCUAAUACUAAAUCUUAAACAAUAAUCACAAAUUCAAAUGUUAAAAUAAAAAAUUAUUGAGUGUACUUUUGUUAAACAAUAAUAUAUUUUAACUAAUUUCUCUUAUAAGUUUUUUUUGUCAAUGUUUCUUAUUGAACAACAAGUUAUAUACGAUCUUCGUGAAAGACCAACAAUUGUAGUAUACCAAACAAAAAGGCCAAAAUGAAUGUGGACAUAUCCCUCUUUUGAUUAAAGAUAACCACAUUUUAGAUCAUUAUUUUGAACGAAGAAACUUUAAAACUUAAAUUAGUAACAGAAAUAUGAACUUUCCAUUAUUAAAAAUAACGAAAAUCUCAUAACUUUAAUAAAGCCAAGAAAAAAUUAUUUUAUUGCAAAAAUACCUAAGUAGCUUAAAUUUAUAAGAAGUCCUAUUUUCACAAAUGACUUUUUGUAAACUACUACUUCAAAAUUAACUUUUAUGUAUUUACUUGAAUGGUACAAAACUAUAGAUGUUUCUCAUAAACCGUCGAGAGAGAAUUAGUGGCUGUUGCUGUCUUGAUGACGUCACCGAUGACAAUAUUCACAGAAGUGACAGUGCCUUUUUACACUCAGAGAGACCCCCUAAGACCAUUUAGAGGUCCAAACUACAUUCUCUCAGUUAUUUUUGUUUUUCUUUGAAUAAAAUUUAGAAAAUAGCAAUAAUGCAAUAGUGUUUGAAAAUAAUUAUCUAUUUAAUUUAUGUUUUUUAAACAAAUUUUAUUUAAUUUAUGUUCUUUUGUCUAAAAACAGUCUUAACUUAUUUAACAACAGUUUAAUAGAUUGAUUUGAUAAUUUAUUGAAAGUUAUAUACACUAAACAACUAAAUUGUGGGAAAUAAUGUUCAUAACAGUUUUCUUUAUUAUGAAAAAUUUCUAGCAAAAUGAUCGUUUAAUUAAAACUAAUAAAUCAAGUUUUAUCAUCAUAACAAUUAUCAAUUAUAACAAGUUUUAUCUAAUAAAACUAAUAACAUUUUUCUUGAUCUUAUUAAAUCAAGUUUUAUCAUUAGAACAAUUAUUAUUACAAACUGUUAUCGGUAUACAUAUUAGUUAUAUAAAUUCUUAAACAGACUGACAUUUUACAUCGAUCUCUAAAUUUAUAAGAAAAAGCUCUUAACUACAAAUGGAAAGAAAAUCAAUAUGUUGAAAUUUUGACCAUCUUUAAUAUAUUCGAACAAUAUGUCUCAAAUUUAACCGAAAAUAUUAUAUGUGUGUAAUGCCUGCAAGCUUCAAGUACAUCUACCAAUCUUAUCCAUUAAAACAAAAGCCAUAAUUUCUUUCAUUUAUGAUAUUUUAUUUUAAUCAAUCUCUUAAAAAAUUUAUCACAUUUAAUUAUCCUAUCAUUUAGUUUUAUAAUAGAUAUAAUCACAAAUAUAUCUUUUUAAUAUCUUACUUAAAUCAAUAAUAUACUAUCUUCAAAGAAAAUUUCAAAUUUUUUUACUGUUAAUAUAUAAUAAAUUAAAAAUAUUUAUUCAAGACAAAUAAAUUAAAUAUAAUCAAAUAUACCAACUGAUUGAUAAAAUUUUUUUUUACCUAUUAAUCUAAUAAUUAUUAACAUCAUAUAUAAUUAUUUUGUAGGCCAUUAACUAUUUGUAAAUCACCUCAUUAACAAAAAAAUCCAUAUGUUAUGCAAUCAUAAUAUAUAAUUAUAUAUACAUAUACUCGUGUAUAUUAUUUUUAAUAUUAUAUUAUGAAACCAUAAUAUAUGAUUAAUGUUAUUAUUUUGAUGAUGUCAAAAAAAAUAUCACAACAUGUGAUUGUUCGUUAAUAUUAUUAACAAUUUUUAUCAAAUUAAUACCAUUCUAAAAAAAUAUAAUAGAAUUAUUUUAUAAUCAUAUAAAUAAAUUUAAAUAUAUUUAAUAAUAUAUAUUUAGUACUAGUCUCUAUAAUUAUGUUCAAACGUUAAAUCUAAAUUGAAAAAUAAUUUGACAAAUAAAAUAAAUUGUAAUAUAUAUAAUAAAAAAAUAAAGCAUAUUUUUGUCUGUGAAACAAAUAAAUUUACAAAUAUAGAUAUACUAAUGUAUAUAUUUAACUAAAUGACACUAUUUUCAUUUUUGUUACUUUGAAAUUUAGAUUUGUUCACACAAAUUAAAAAAAAAAAAUUUCUAAUUUAUCUAACCAAAAACAUUGUUAAGUAUUCACCUAAUCAUAAUUCAUCCAGUAAAAAUGCUAACUGGAAAUAUAAAAAGAAAAAACGAAUAAACUUGCAUUGAAAAUUAAAAAUAUCAUCUAAUUUGAAGUAAAAAGAAUUCUCUAAAACAUCAUAUAUUAAAAAUAAAGUGAAUAUGUUCUAAAAAAUAAAUAUAUUCUUCAAACAAAAACACUAGAAAAUUUUCUGGUUUGAAUAGAAUUAUCAAAUUACAAAUUACUUAUCUAAUAUAUCAAUUUGAUUUUUCACCCCAUGCAAAACCGAGAUACGCAACCGACAUAGCUUACAAUUUCCUUAAUUUAAUUUUUAAAAAUAUAUGCGCGGUUGCACAUGUUAAAAUCUAGUAGUCUAAUUAAUACCCGAGUGGCAUUCUAUAGUAUCUUAAGAUAUACUCUCUCUGUUUCAAAAUAGUUGAUGUUUUAGUUAAAUGCACAAAAAUGAAGACAUUCACUUUUUUUAUCUAAAAAGUAGCAUUAAAAUAUAAAAUAAAAUUAAUUCAACCAAUCAUCACAAAAACUAUAAAAUCUCAUUGGUCACACAGUUUUUAAUAAAUCUAAAAUUAAUAUAAAAUAACAAAAUAUCAUGUAUUUUGAAACAUCAAAAACUCUCCAAAACAUCAUCUAUUUAGAAACGGAAAGAGUAGUUAAUAAAGCUAUUUUUAACGGUUGCAGCAGUAAGUUGUUUCAGUAUAAGUGUAUUCAUAUAAUACAAUCAUUCCAUCAUUAAAAUAUGCACUUGUUUGUCGAUUGUUUUUAAACAGCCGAACUUAUCCUUAAAUUUGAGUCUCAAGACUAAACUUAUCUUUGAUGUCUAUAUAAAUUCAGAUAUUUUUAUCUACGAAAUAGGGACUAAUUCCAUUUUUUUAGGCGAAUUGUCCACUAACCUACAGCAACAAAAUGAAAUCAUUAUUUUACAAAAAAAAAAGAAAUCAUUUAUCUACUACUACAACUUGGUUAAUAUGUUGGUUGCGAAUUUAUAUAAUUUUAUACUGUUUUCUUUGUUUCGUAGUUUAUUUGGUUUCGUAGAAAAAGAAAGUGUAAAAUAUUUAUAAAAGAAAAGUGUAAAAUAUUUCGUUAUCUUCCGUUUUACCAAGGGAUCACAAGCACCCAAAUAAAAAUUCGAGAUAUUUCACGUUCGUUUUAAAGAACACAGAUGUAAUCAUUUAUGAAAACAUGGAAUAGAGAAAUGAUAAAAUACCGACAUGAAUAGCAAUUAUAAAAUGAGGAUGUUGGUGGGUUUGACAGAUGAAGAAUGACACGUGGGUAGAGUAGGGUAGGGAGUCUAAUAGAGUACGAAUAAUGAAGAAUGAUGAGAGAUUGAGAGGCUUUGCUUGGUUCAUUUCAAAUUCAAUCCUUCGAUUUCUCUCAUUUAUAUAUAAAUUAUGUAUGUUUUCUAUAUAUGAUUUUUCUAUCUCUGUAGAAAGUGUAUUUUUAAUAUUUGGAAGUUCCCACGAACGAUUUUCAAACUGGUUUACAUCCAUCUGAUUUUUUUUUCAAAUAGCUAUAUGUUUUUCACUUAAUAUAAUACUACUUAUAAAAUAAUGAAAACCGCUUAUUCUACCUCUGCCGGAUUCCACUCCCGACCAAGGUCAGCGGGUCCUCGCUAUUUAUCUUGUGAUACAUGAUACAUCUAAGGCGAGGUUGAUACAGAGAGCAAGCCACCAAACAACCGUUUAUGGCCCAAAAAAUUUAUAAGGCAUAUAUUUUUAAAUUUUAUAUAAAUAAUUUUUUAGUAUUUAUGUAUAAAUUUAGUUUAAAAUUUUAUUGAUGAUUAUAAUAUUUGUUGAAUUUUAUAUUUGUUUAUAAAAUUUUAUUAAUAAAUAUUUUGAAUAAAUAUUUUAUUCAAUAAAUUAGAUUUUAAAAUGCAAAAUCUUGUAUUAACAAAUUAUUUUACUAAAAUUAUGAUUGACAACGGUGAAAUAUUUGUAAUAGCAUUGGCUUAUAUUACUAAGCAGUUAACUUGAUAGUAUAUUUACUAAUCAUUAACGGAAUUGCAUUAGUUUAUAAAAAUUAAAGUGAUUUAUAUUGUAUAAAACAUAAAAAGACAUGUUGUUGAUAUUAGAUAACUCGGUUUUUCAUUUCAGGUAUAUCCGCUUUGCAUGAGACGCAUUGUGUCUUAGGUUUAUUUUUCAUUUUUAUUUCUUUUUUUAGUGCAUUUUUGUAUUUGAAAACAAAAAAAAACAAAAAAAAUAUAAUAUAAAGUCUUUUUUUUUUUUGGUUUAAGACAUAAAAAUGUUGGAUCGGUAUUAGUCAUAUGUAUGUACUAGGGUCUCCCCUACAGAAAAACAACUCACAUACUAUAUUAUUCACUCCAAUAAAAAAGAGCCACAUUUGUGGUAUUCAAAGAACAGAAAAUGGAUUGAUGAAUCAUGUUUUAGCCGCCGCCGAGCUCCAAUCCAGAUCCUUCCUAGCAACAAAGAAGUUCUAGUGGAGGAACAUAGGCUCAAUCUCAUCGAAAAGGUCACAAACCCCAUCCAUCUAGAACCUCAAUGGAGAGAGAGAGAGAGAGAGAGAGAGAGAGAGAGAGAGAGAGAGAGAGAUUUUCUGGACUUUUACUAGUUUUAGAACCUUUCAAAUUUUCACUAAUAAUAAAUAUUUUUAGACUAUUUGCAAUGUAUAGUUGAAUAUUUUUUCCACUGUUAAAUAUCUGACAAUGAGAAGUUAAAUAAAAAAACAGUUGAUGUAGAUUAAAUUUGUUAAAUCUAUCAAAACUCUUAAAAUGAGACAAAAUAAAAUAUAAGCAUUUGUAAAGAGUGAUUUUCACAUAUAGAUACAUUAUGACUUUUUAUUACACUGCAGGGUACAAAGUGCUACUGAGGUAGUUUUUAGUGGUUGAAGACAAAUUUAACCUUCAAAAAGUGAAACCAAGGAUGGACAAUUAUGUAAUUAAACAUGGGCUUUCUAGUUGGACUGGUUAGGGUUUUUUGAAAUUCGAAAACAAUUGGUUUGGUGGUGGUGGACGUGAAUCUCAUAUGAGAUUGAGUUUUUUUUUCUUUACUCGUGAAAGUAAUUGUUUUGUUUCUUUACUCUUUUUAUUUAUUUCCAGUAAAAGUAAGAACAGAGAACUGAAAAACCGACGAACAGAGAAGCCGACGAACAAGAUUUUCAGACGGAGAAGACCUGUCGUCUCGAAGCGGAGAGCUUCAAAGGGCGAGGCUAAAGGUUGGAUACUUUCCUUCCUCCCAGUUUCAUUGAUUUGGAUUUCAGAUUGGAGAUUAGAGUUUUAAUUUCUGGGUUUUGAUUUUUUGAGUUUGGUAAGAGCCUCGACGUGAGGUAUUAGGGUUUCGAUUUGGAGGUACAGUUCUAAAUUUAUGCAAAACUCCCAUUAGGAUUUUGAUUUGUAGAUUAGGAUUUCGAUUUAGGGAUGCGGUUCUAUAUUUCCAAGUUUUCAAAAAAAUAAAUUCUGAUUUUUGUUUGUUUUACAUAGAUGUCGCAAACUGAAGAGGGAGCGGUGAAUGGAGGAAAAGGUCAAAGCUUGUUGCUAGUUUCGGUGUUUUGAAAAAACCGUGGUCGGAUGUACACCAACAUGUGUGUACAUAUGAACAACCAGGAUUUUGUACAUGUGUACACGCAUGUAUAGGUACAUAAUAAGUAAUGUAGAUAUGAGUUUUCUUGUUGAUAGAUUGACAUGUAUAUGUUGUGUUUGUUGGUGUAAGAGUCAGUACAUAUGAACAAUAUCAAUCUAUUCCAUUGCAAAAUAUGAACAUAGUAAUGUAUACCUUCCAACAUAUAGCAAUACCAAUCUAUAUUGAGAACCAUUUAAAACAUUAUUGUAAACUCGAUCAUAUAUGUUAUUGAUGGGGUGGAUGAAAAUUGUUUAAACCAACCAUCUGUAUUGUGAGUGAAAUAAGUGUACACAAGAGAAUGUGUACAUAUGGACAUUAGAAAGAGUGUGUACAUAUGGACAAUAGAGAGAGUGUGUACAUAUGGACAUUAGAUAUCGAGAAUUCGUGGAUUGCAAUAUAACCAUAAAUGUGUAUUUUUAUGACUUUAAAAUUUUAAUUGCUUUAUGUUAGAUAGUUGUAUGUAGUAUCACUAGAUGUAUUUUGUGCUGGAUGAAUGGACUGAAUCUUUGUGAAAAAAUACUCACGUGUACACAUGAGAACAAUAUCCACGUGUAUACAUUAGGAAUGUAGCUGUACAUAUGUACAACUAAUGACCUAGUUACAUGUUUAUAUGGUUUGUAGUGGAGGUGUGUAUUGAAUUUGUUUUGGUUUGCCGUAUUUCAAUGGUUGCAGGCUUAUAGCUGACUAUGCAACCUAUGAUGGAGUAUGGGGAGGACAAGGAGGAUGACUACGUUCAUGGUCUUAUUUUGAGAAUAGAAAUGAUUGUUUAUUCAUGGACAAGAGUCACAAAUCUUCAUUUCUUUGAAUUACAAAAUUACAUGCAUGUUAAUUUACUUUAUUAAUCUUUUUGUUUUUAAUUUCACAACACUUGUUUAUAUAACCUAAUGCAUUUUAGUAAUGGAUCUUUAUAAAUGAAUGGUGUGCAUAUGGAAAUGAUAUAAAGUUGAUGUACACAUUGAUAUCAUAUCAUAUAAAAUUGAUGUACACAACACACAUAUAUAACAUAGACAUCAUAAAAAUAUGGUGUACACAUGGAUAUCAUAUAAAGUUGAUGUACACGUAAACAUCAUAUUAAGUUACAUGUUAUGAAAAUCUUACAAAUUAUUAGAUGAACCAAUAAACUGAUUAUGAAACAAGAUGAUUCUGAAACAAAAAGACACUUUAUUGAAUCUGAAAAUGAAUAAAUCAAUUUUGGAAGACUCAUCUACUCUUUAUAGCUCUCAAGUGAUCAAAAUAAUCACAAUGUACAUACUUUGAUAUUCAACAUAAACCCAGACUUAACAUCUUCUCUAAUCUGCUACAAUAUUAGUUAAAACAAUGAGCACAAGUUCUUUUCAAAGUUUUGUUAACUAACCGAGUUUUUUAAAGUGAUAAUCAGUGGGGGUUUGGUGUUGAUUAGCACAGUUUUUUUUUUAAUGCUGAUGAACAACAAACCCAAGCAAAAAACGCACAAGUGGGAGAAAGAAGAGAGAUAGAGGUGAGGUUAAUCUGAGCCGUCCAUAAAAUAACUAGUUCAUCGAACGGUUCUGGUUCAAAGCAGGUAAAUGUCUUAUCCAGAUCUGCUUUUCCAAUAAUUAAUCUCAGCCGUUGACAAUGUGAGGGAAUGUGUGGCUGGGAAGAAAAGCCCGCCAAUUGGAUAACGAGUUAGUUGAGAUGGGGUUGGGAGCAAACGAAAAAGGAAGAAGCUAGUUGAGAAAGUGUGUUUGUAGUGGAAAGUGACUCACCAUGUAAAUAAAAGUAGAAAUGUGUCCUAGAGUGUAAAUCUUUCAUUUGUAAAUUGGUGAAAGAAAUACUUCUUAAUUAAAUUAAAACUAAAUAUAUGGUAUUUUAUUAUUGGUUAUACAGAUUUUUAGAAUUUAUUUUUCAUCCAAAUUUAUAGAGAUUAGUUAUUACAUAGUAAAUUAUUUUUUAAUUAUUAAUUUUGUACCAAAGGUUAUUAUUUUAUGAAACCUAUAAAAAGACUUAUUUCAUUUGAAUACCAAAUCAACACUCAAAAUUUUAUAACAUACCUUUUUGAUUAUUCAAGAUCUCGUAUUUUCAUAUACAAAUCUAAGACAAAAAAAUUACUAAAUUACUUAAAUUCUAGUUAUUUUGAUUUACUUCUAAUUUAUUAUUGAUAUGAUAUAUAAGUAUACAAAUGCAAAUAAAAAUAAAAACAGAGAAAAUAGUGGAGUAAGGUGUUGAAUUUUGUUGAACAAAACUAUUAUAAAUAUAAAACUGAACAUACGUUGAAUUAAUAAGUGGAAGAUAAAAAAAAAAGAUUAUGUAGAGUAAGAAAAAAUAUAAAUUAGAGUGUUGAAUACUAAAUACCAUUGUACAUAUUCUAAUAAUAAAUGCUUAAUAAAAUUUAUGCAUCACUUACCAAAUCUCAAAUAUAUAUAUUUUAGAAAGAAAAAAUUAGGUGGAAAUGGUUCAAUGCAACAUUAUUCACGUUUUUCUGUUUCUCAAUUCUCCUAGAUCUUUGUGAUUGGUAUUUCAAACAAUUCUGGUAUUAUUACUCUCCUUUAUUUUUUCCUCUGGUUACUGCCAUGUACAGUAAUUGUCCCACUGUCUCACAGUAGUGAGAAAUGACUAAAUGAGGAGUCAGCAUGUCAAGAUUCUCCAAUUGAUGCUUUCUCUUGUUCUUUAACUCAACAAAACAGUUAUCUGACCAAGUUACAAACCUUUUUUUUUUUGAACAUCACAAACUUUUUUUUAACUGAAAUUACAAACUCUUGAGCUUCUGUUUAUCGGUCUCAACCCUUAUAAUCAAGGACUGGAAGGAAUAUUGGAAUGCUAAGCAUGGUGUACCUUUUUGGGGGUCAAAAUCUCACUCUAUCAAGUCAAGUUUUGAACUAUUUAAUUGAUAGUUCAAUUUUAGUUUAAAAUUACAAAUUAAUUAAAUAAGUAAAUCAUAUCAAGAUUUUGAUCCAAAAAAAGUAAAUCAUAUUAAGAAUCUAAAUAGUAUAUUUUGAAAAGAAUUUUUAACCGAUAUUGAUGUUCUAAUUAAAAUAUAUUUGCAUAUUUAAAAGAUGUUUCUAUACUAGGAUAAAUAAUAAAUUUUAAUUUAUGCUAAAAUACUGAAGUGAGAUGAGCUAACGAGCAGUAGUCUAGUAGAUAUACAUAAAGUAUAUAUUAAACUGUCUUGUUCUUCUUCUUUUGAGCAAAUAUAUACAGCAGUCAGCAGGUAUAUAUAAACUGUCUUGUUUACAUUGAAUAAUGGGUUUGGAUAUUUGGAUAUAUUUUUUUUUGAACAUUAGGAUAUUUGGAUAUUUUGUCCGAUUCGAGCCAAUUUUAGUUUUUGACAUUUCAUGUAUAAAGAUAUAUAAUUAGGUGGAUAUUUAUAAAAUAUUGGUUCUUUGGAAUUUCUGUUCGUUUAUGUAAUAUAAUAAGAAUGGAAAAUGUUAAUUCCCAAAAAUAAUUUGGGUGUGACUCAGUUAUGUUCAAAUUUUCCUGUUUUGUUUUUGCGUAAUUUUAGGUAAUUUAAAUAAAAACUAGUUGAAAGGUGCGGGCUAAUAUUUACCUAAUAAUUUUACUUUUAAGGUUUAUUUUCUAUUUUUUAUUAAAUUAGAUAAAAAAAUAUAUUAAUAUUCUAAAUUAUAAAACUUCAAUAUUCAUAUUGGUAAUCAAUGUAUUAAAUUAUGUUCUUUUAUUUCAUAGUUUUAUUUAGUGGAUGAAGAUUUUGGAUCAAUAUAUUUUAUAUAGUAAUAAUUAAAUUAUAAAACUGUUUUAAAAUUAGACACUUAUUUUACUCCUGAACUGAAAAGAAAUCUAAUGACAUUGAAAAAAUUAUAAAUAAUCACAACUCAUGAAAUAUCAAUGAAAUAACAAUAGUCAACACAUUUUUUUAUGAUUUAAAUUUUAAAAACAGUGAGACAAAAACACAAAAAAAAUAAACUACAAAACAUUAUCUAUGUAUCCUCUUAGAUUAUAUUUAUAUUAUGUUUAUUAUUUGUUCAUUUUUAGUGUUAUUUAAUGUUUUAAUCCUAGUUUUUCAUCCUCUUAUAUAUUUUUAAAAUAUUUGUAGUUAGGUUUCAUUUUGUAGUUUAGGUAAAAUUUAGUAUUUUGGUUUUAAAUAUAAUAUUUUGAUAACAUUUGUGAUUUUACGGAUAAAUUUAUUAUUAGCAUAAAUUCAUUUGUAGUUUUGAUGUACGUCAACAAAUAUAAUUAAUUUAUUUUAGGUUAAAAAUAUGACUGUUUAAUAUUAAAUAUAUAAAUAAUAUUUAAUACAUGUAUAUAAUUUAUAUUUAAUGAUAUAUUUUCAUUGAUGUUGUAGCUUUAAUCUUAAUUUUAAUAUUAUAAUAACCUGUAUGUGGAUCAAUAUUUCUAAUAAGAAUUAGAGAAACUGGCUAUAAUGUUAGUUAUUAAAAUUCUAAACUAAAUAUAAGAUACAUGUGAUUAUGAUAUUAUCAGUAUAUAUUGUUAAUAUCAAUUGUUAAUAUCAAUUUAUUAAUUAAAUGUUCUAAACAUCAUGAUAAGUUUAUAUAUUAAAAUAUAUUUUCAAAAAAUUAAUAGCUAUGUAUAGGUAGAUUAGGUUCAUGUUCAUUCAUUAUAUUAAAUAUCAUAAUAUAUAUAUAUAUAUAUAUAUUAUAAUAUAAUUUGAAUAAUAAUAUUAGUUAAACUAAUGACUUAUCCUAAAAUCAUUGAUAAGAUGCAAAGUAAAAAUUCACUUCUUAUCUUAUAUAUCAUGAUAUAUAUAUAUAUAUAUAUAUUAAAAUAUAAUUUUAAAUAAUAAUAUUAAUUGAAGUGAUAACUUAUACUAAAAUCAUGGAUAAUAUGACAAGUAAGCAAAUUCAUUUUUCAAAUAAUAUUAUAGAUAGAAGAUAUAUAUGAAACAAUUCAAGUGUUUUAGAUUAAAAAAUCAGGUAAUUGGCUAAUUUCAGAUCUUUUAAAUAUAAAAUAAUAGAGGAAUUUUAGAUAAUUUUAUUUUUUGGAUAAAUCGUUUUCGGUAAUUUGGAUAUUUUCCAAUAAAGAUAUUCAGUUUAUAAAUUAUAUUUGUGAACUUUUUUUAUAACAUUAAAUUUGUGAACUUUGAAGGUGGUUUACUUCUGUAUUGCAAUGUCAUUUGAAGUUCUUCUGAAAGCAAGAAGACAACUUGAAGAGUUGGGUUUCACCUGUAAAGCUGUGAACGAUGGUCUAUGAUUGCAGGUUAUUUUUCCUUAAACUUGCUUGUUUUCGCAUUCAGCAAGUAAGAAAUGUAGGAAUUGUAGAUUAGCUCAUGCUUUGAUAUAUUUGCACGUAAUGCGUCUUAGGGUAUUUUGGAGUAAAGUUGGAGGCAUUUAUCAUGAGCAGUCCUACUCUAGUGUUAUAUGUUUGCUUGCAUAAAUGCGAUAAUGUCUUUCUGUUUAUCUUGAGCAGAACCAAAGGAACCUUCACUAGGGAGACUGAGCGGGAGAACCAGAGUUGUACCAUAUCAGUUGAUACGAGGACACCUUUGUGUCACUUUCCACUUUUUGGUUUUGGACUUUUGAGUACGGUUUUUUAUUUGCUUACUUAUAACCAACUAUCUUGCUCUAGUUCUCGCUUAACUGUGACUUCUUGUUUUUUUCUGUUUGGUAAAUGGUUUCUCUCAGCUGCGUUUUUUUUUCGUUGUACAGAGUUGAAUUUGAGGAUGUAUGUCCAAAGACUAGCUAAUGGUCAUGCAGAGCAUCCUCCUGAAUUCUUCUAUACUGGCUCUCUUUGGAAGGUAUAACAAACUCAUAUCUCAGUGAGCAAGCUUUCUCUUUGGAGACAUUCAGUGAUGAAAUUUUGGUUUGAUGAAACGCCUUUUAAAUACCAUAUCCCGAUUAGCAUUCAGGCGUCAAUAAUGAGGACCUUUAAGGACGCCGAACUAUUGGUAACCAACAGCGAGAUCACAUGUUUUCCUCACAUUAAAUUGGUAUGUUAUAGUACUUAACAUGAUGAUCCAUUCUACACGUUUGUUUCUUCACCAUCGUAAAACAGAGUUAAUGGACUCAGUAAGGAAACUCACUUUUCUUUUUUGUUCGUCCCAACCAAACCCGCAGCUACUUGAGUAGUCAUAUCUUCCGAAAGUACAUUCUCUUCUUUUCCUCAUUCAGGUCCACAUUUAGAUAGAUCCCCGUGACAAAGUUACUGCACGUCACCGAGUAUGUGUCUAUGAUCUUUUUCAAGUUUUACAUGGUAUUCAUGCGCGGAAUGACAAACUUUUAAGUGCUGUUUUGAUGCAUCUAAUUUAUAGUUUUAUUGUCGAACGUGUAUUUCAUGCGUCCAAAUUUUUUCGAAAAUGAUUGAUUUCUAUAACAACACACUACAUAUAUUCUCCUCUGUUCUUGCAGCUAAUCUGCCCGUCGAAAAGAGAAGUGAUGUCGUUUGGGGACUUCAAGCAGAGAGGAACUCUACUGACCAAGCUCCCAAAGGUUGAGAAUGGCAUACUGCACUACCCUUCGACGAGUUCAACGAACUUAACCAGAAUGGUGCUAUUAGAAUCACGGCCCUGAUUUGGCCCUGAUUAAGCUCGUCCAGAGUCUCCUAAAACUCUACCAUUGUGUGUAGAAAUAUUUUCAUGUGUCAUGAGCUCGUAAAAGAGUUAUUAUUUCAAAACUUGUGAAUGGAACAAAGACAAGGUUUUAAUUCAUCUCUAUCCUACUGAUUUUCUAUUUCAGUUGAUUAUUUUCUAAUUUCUAUUUUGUUGAUGGUGAGGCUGAUGAUCGAAGUGGUCCAAUAAUAGAUUGGAAACCUAUAUCUCCCAAAGACAGGUUGGCAUAAAUGCGACCAAAAUUCACAGGAUAUGCGUAGGAGUAAAACAAGCAUGAUAUUUAUCUUCUAUAUCAGUUUUAUAUUUGUUAUAUGUUAGAAACAAGCAUGGUAGUCAAAUUUUUUUUUGUUGUUCUUUUGACUGAUAAUCAGAUCGUAGAGCCUAUUUCAUCAUUAUCAACUUUUAACAUAUAUAUUGGUGUAUGCUAGGAUGUGUUGGCCCAAGGUUUUUGAAUACCAUAUGCAAAGAGUUACUCUCACAUGAGAGAUUAAUCAAGCAAACGGUGAAGGCGGAUCCGCUCAAGUUAAUUUUUGGGAUAGAUAAAUAUGUAAAGGUGCAGAAAGUGAAAAUUAAAACCGAGAUAAGGCGGAAAAGAAGUUAUGUCAAGAACAAAAGUAUAAUUUAACAAAAGCUGGACACACCGGAGAUCAGUUCCGAAUUAAAUCUGAUUGCCAUCAGAAUUUUCAUCUCUCUCUGAAAGAUAAAAGAGAAUAGAGAGACAACCAGCUUCAAAACUAUGUAAUUUAUAAAAGACAGAAAGCUGUAAUGAUGUCUUCUUACGAAAACAUUAAUAAUUAGAUACAUGUCAUGUUGAUAUUCUACCAAAUGCUUAAUUUCAACCGCUUGGCUCGCGUGAAUGGCUCUUUUUCUUAUGAAUCUUAUUGAUGGUAGAUCAAAUACAUCUUUAGUUGAUGGUGAUACGGAAUUAACUCUCAAGGAAUUUCUUGAUUAUAUACCAUAUACAACUAAUCACUUAAUUAACCAAUUCUAAACUGGAGUUAUUGCUUCCAUGAUUCGUUACAGAAAAGACUACAAAAAGGAAAAUUAAGCUGGCGUAGUAAAACAAAGAAGGUUGUUUGGGUUAUUUUGGUCCUCGCUUAAUUACAAGUUGCAUUCAAUCUUUGCAAAUGACAGUUGGCAGAAGAAAAAGAUUAGGUUUCAUCCGGACCAUCCCAUAAACAUCAAUUAGUAACAAGAAGUCAAUAAACAAAAAGUUCAAAUAAAAUGACAAAGUAACGAAUUGUUUCCAUAGUGGCCACCUAAGAUAAGAAGUUGCAUGAUAAUGCAGUUCACACGAGAUGACUACUUUUAGACUUACUUUAAUUAGCUUUAUAACCUAAUCUUAGCGUUAUAUAAUGAUGAUGAUUCAUAAGUUAUGAUGGUUUUUCCAAAGUAAAAAUACACUUGUCAAUCUCUGAUUCCGACAUGACUUUAGAUUAAUUCAUAAUUCAUGUUCUAAAAAUCAUAUUUCAUGCCGUGCGAACCCCACUUUUUCAAUGAUAUAGUGGAAUAUCCAAGUCAUGCCUUAAUACCCAUCAAUAUUUUGUUUCACUUAACCUCGUGAUAUAAUCAACAUAAUAGAUGUUAUAUAUUGUGCAUCAUCCAGUCACACAUUAUCAAACUUUAGUUCUGAAACUAAAUUGUAGGUCAGAGGUCAUAGUUUUUCUUGAUUUUUAAUUGUAGGUCAUAGGUCAUAAUUUUUCUUAUCUUAAUAUUCUUAAGAAAAUUGCUAUUGUGGAACCAAUUUGUUGACCGGAGCGAAACCAGCACUAACGAGUAUGUGUGUUUUGAAAAAAACCAACAUCAACAAUAUACAAAGAAAACCAGUUUCAUAGAAGAAAAAAACAGAUGAAAGAUCGGUUAGCCAAUUUGUUUUUGUUUUUUCUUUAAUGUGAAAUUGAUUUAUCAACAACAAAAAAAAAUGUUACAGAAAAGAUUUUUUAUGUUCUUGGAAGUGGGUUCACCCCACUCCAAAUCCGAUCUAAGAAUUCGGGUUAAUAGUUUGAAGGUCCGUUAAGAGAAUAAUAGUAAUAGACCCAUGAAAAAUGAAGGUCAUCCCGAACUCGGAGAAGAAUCAAUGUCUAGUUGACCUGGUUAAACUAAAACGUAAAAAUGAUCGGAGUAUUAAAAACGAUUUUUAAACGCCAGAUCCUCGUUGAAAAUCACGACAAAGGAAAAGGAAAAGAAAAAGAGAAAGGAGUUGUUCAAAAAAAAAAAGGAAAAGGAAAAGAUGAUCCAAAUUUGAUACAUCAUAGCUCUACAUAAAUUACUCUCGAAUUUACGUGUAUGAAUCCCCCAUGUUGAUCAUUGUUGUAUGUGAGCUCUCAAUAAUAUAUAUUUUUCAUACCAAAAUUAUCAGUAAAUAUUAUUUUUAUUAGUCUAAAUCUUAACCCUAAUUUCUAAGUAAAUCUUAAUAUCCAUCGUAUACAUUGUAAACAAUUAAAUCAACAGAAGAGAACCUGAAACAGAUCGUCAAUGGGCAUUCCGACUAAGCCAAAGCUGCGUCAUAGCAUCCAAUUUUAUGUGAUGUCUUCGAUGGGAUAAACAGUUUGUCAUAUGGUUUUGCUUCCAGUACUUAUCUUUUCUCGUUGUUUAUUUCAGUUUACAAUUUAUAAAAACUGGAACCAAAUCAAACCAUCUGUAACCCGAUUUACUGUAGUUCGAUUGAUUAUUUUUUCAAUUUGGAUUUGGCUUAAUUUAGUUAGUUGAAAAAACUUUAUAAUGCCAUCAAGUUUAAUAUCUUCCCGAUUCAAUACAUGAAGUAAUCAAUUUACAUUUUUUUAGUUCGUUCCCUGCUUAAGUUUAUCAACACGUAUUUUCAAAGAUAUGCUGCGAAAAGUUUAUCAACAUUUUUUUAAAAAAGUUUAUCAACAUUUUCUGUUUAUUGUUUGUCCAAAAAUCAUUUUAUCUUUAUUUACUUAAGCCACGAAUUGGAACACGACACAGAACCAUGGAUGUAAACAGUACAAAUGCAUUACACAUAUAAAUCGAAUGGCGAUGAGUGUGCCAAUGUUGGAUUCAACCGACACGAUAGGGUCCCAUGUAUAGUCUCUAUCAACCUAUGAGAAAUUGGUUUAGCUCGACGUUUCUGUCGCAAUUUCUUUUUAUAAUAAAUUCGUUAACGUCUCUAACCAUAUACGUACGUAACUAUUGAUACGUAUUGGGUUUUUUUUUGUUCAACGUGAUACGUAUUGGGGUUUUUUUUUUGUUCAACAUGAUACGUGUUGGUUUUCACCUAAUUAUAAAGCCUCCGAUCAUCCGAUGACGACGAUAUGAUACGUAGUGAGGGUCCAAUCCAUGCAUAUUAUUUAAAUUAUGAACUUCAAAACUGGUACCUAGUUUCGAGAGGACUUUUUUUUUGUCAAUCAAGAGGAGUUUACUUUCUGAAUUUUUUACAGGUGAAAACUGGAAACACUUUCCGAUUUUGAAAUUACAUUCCAAGUCACUUCCUGUUUGAGACAUUCAUUAUCAUAUCAGAAAGACAUUUCUACCUCUCAACCACACACAUCGUACUUAGAAUUUUUUACCCCUCAACAACUUUUUAUUACCUUUUCCAAUUCGUUUAACCUAAAGCCGCUCAAAAUAUUUUUUUUUUUCUCUCAAAAGCUGCGAAACCCUAGAAUCUCUCAAAAACACCAAAUAUGCACCACACUUUCGUCAAUCGACCACCAUGACGAAGCAGAGAGCCCUUAGAUCGAAAAAUCCCUACAUGCAAGGUACAUAUGAAGCUGAUAUGAUGUUGUGAUGUGAGAGUGGAGAUGAUUUCGGGACUCAAGAUGUUGUGAUUCGACGAGUGUCUCGGGAAUGAAGCCGUAGAGAUAGUGGAGAUGAUGAGUUGAGGAGAAACAAGAUGGAUUGUGGAUUCGAACUCGGGUCUGGUGGUGGUGAGUGAAUAAUGAGUCGGUUGAUGGAGAGGAUAUGUUGUGUUUGCUGGAGAGAUGAAGCGACGUUGCGUACGGUCAUUUUAUGUGGAGUUGAUAGAGAGCGAGAGGAAGCAUAGGUGGUGGUCAGGAUCGUUGGUUUGAGAGAGAUUACCAUUGGUAGGAACUUGAAAGCUUUGAUCUUUCUGGUGAUUUGACAUCACCCGUCCACACAUCGCAUGUUCACACAUCAUCCGUCCAUGCAAUAAACGUCCAUAUGUAAUCAAAGGGUGGAGACGAGACUGUGUGACGAAACGAAAUAGUCUCCCCUUUCGACUAGAGCUGUCAAAUGGUCCGUCCAUGGCCCAAUUGGGCAUGACCAUUUGGACUAUUUCAGUUUUGGACAGUAAUAGGUGGUCCAUAUUGGACAAUGGUCCAACAAAUGUCCAAGACCAAUAGAGACCAUGUCAAAAUGGGCAUGCCCAUGGACACCCAAUAAUAUUUAUAAUUAUUUUUUAAUUAUUAGUUUAGAUUUUAUUUCUAAAAUUUUGAAAUUAUGUUUACUUUCCAAAAUUAUAAAAGUAAUUUUUUUCUUAUCA